rnacentral:rRNA from 1 species
AGUGAACGCUGGCGGUAGGCCUAACACAUGCAAGUCGAACGGCAGCACAGUAAGAGCUUGCUCUUACGGGUGGCGAGUGGCGGACGGGUGAGGAAUACAUCGGAAUCUACUUUUUCGUGGGGGAUAACGUAGGGAAACUUACGCUAAUACCGCAUACGACCUACGGGUGAAAGCAGGGGAUCUUCGGACCUUGCGCGAUUGAAUGAGCCGAUGUCGGAUUAGCUAGUUGGCGGGGUAAAGGCCCACCAAGGCGACGAUCCGUAGCUGGUCUGAGAGGAUGAUCAGCCACACUGGAACUGGGACACGGUCCAGACUCCUGCGGGAGGCAGCAGUGGGGAAUAUUGGACAAUGGGCGCAAGCCUGAUCCAGCCAUACCGCGUGGGUGAAGAAGGCCUUCGGGUUGUAAAGCCCUUUUGUUGGGAAAGAAAAGCAGCAGGUUAAUACCCCGCUGUUCUGACGGUACCCAAAGAAUAAGCACCGGCUAACUUCGUG